GGAUGUUGGGGUCAUCUGGCUGCGACAUCUGUUAACCGACUAAUGGCAGCUGAUAUUGCUGACUGGGUGGGGAUCACCUUCCUUCCUUAUGACUCCAUGUGCAUCUCCUCACAUCUGUCAAACUUGGUCAGUGAAUGACAUUCCCAGAGCAGAGACUGAUAAGUCAAGUGUAUAAGAUUUCCUCCCUGCUUGAAUCUACAAAACAGGUUUUCAAUAGUUACAACACCCCCCAUAUGUAAAUAUAUCCUGGAUAGUUGGAAUAAAUAGAAUAGGAAAAUGAAGUCUCUCAAUCAAAUAAGAACUAGGUAUUUCCUAAGGUUUAUUUUU
ensembl:misc_RNA 7SK 7SK RNA